rnacentral:misc_RNA from 1 species
AACGCAAAUUGCGCUCGAGGCCUCGGCCAAGAGCAUGUCUGCCUCAGCGUCGGCUUACUACCCUCAACCAAUUCCCGUAUGGGUAAUUGAUUGGAGCUGGCUUUCCGGUGUUCCGACUAGGUUGCCGGUUAGCUGAAAAAUAUUCAUGCUGUGGAAGCUGCUUUCCCCUAAAAAGGAAAGCCGAGUUCCGAUUUGGUAGGUGACCUUUGCCGGUUGCAUGCCUUCGUUGCUCGCCAAGGCUUUCAUGAAAGCGUGUGCAGGACGCCUUUUGGCUUUCGACCUGAGGUCAGGCAAGAACACCCGCUGAACUUAA